rnacentral:tRNA from 1 species
GAAAGAUUAGUUAAUUAUAACAUUAGAUUGUCAAGCUAAAAUUAUCAAUAUAUUGAUAUCUUUCU